rnacentral:rRNA from 1 species
CCGGUAAACGGCGGCCGUAACUAUAACGGUCCUAAGGUAGCGAAAUUCCUUGUCGGGUAAGUUCCGACCUGCACGAAUGGCGUAAUGAUGGCCAGGCUGUCUCCACCCGAGACUCAGUGAAAUUGAACUCGCUGUGAAGAUGCAGUGUACCCGCGGCAAGACGGAAAGACCCCGUGAACCUUUACUAUAGCUUGACACUGAACAUUGAGCCUUGAUGUGUAGGAUAGGUGGGAGGCUUUGAAGUGUGGACGCCAGUCUGCAUGGAGCCGACCUUGAAAUACCACCCUUUAAUGUUUGAUGUUCUAACGUUGACCCGUAAUCCGGGUUGCGGACAGUGUCUGGUGGGUAGUUUGACUGGGGCGGUCUCCUCCUAAAGAGUAACGGAGGAGCACGAAGGUUGGCUAAUCCUGGUCGGACAUCAGGAGGUUAGUGCAAUGGCAUAAGCCAGCUUGACUGCGAGCGUGACGGCGCGAGCAGGUGCGAAAGCAGGUCAUAGUGAUCCGGUGGUUCUGAAUGGAAGGGCCAUCGCUCAACGGAUAAAAGGUACUCCGGGGAUAACAGGCUGAUACCGCCCAAGAGUUCAUAUCGACGGCGGUGUUUGGCACCUCGAUGUCGGCUCAUCACAUCCUGGGGCUGAAGUAGGUCCCAAGGGUAUGGCUGUUCGCCAUUUAAAGUGGUACGCGAGCUGGGUUUAGAACGUCGUGAGACAGUUCGGUCCCUAUCUGCCGUGG